rnacentral:rRNA from 1 species
UACAGAGGCCUCGAGCGUUAGGCGGAAUCACUGGGCUUAAAGCGUGCGCAGGCGGUCUGCUAAGAGAGGUGUGAAAUCCCCGGGCUUAACCUGGGAACUGCGCUUCUAACUGGCAGGCUAGAGUGUGGCAGAGGGGGGUGGAAUUCCACGUGUAGCAGUGAAAUGCGUAGAGAUGUGGAGGAACACCGAUGGCGAAGGCAGCCCCCUGGGCUAACACUGACGCUCAUGCACGAAAGCGUGGGGAGCAAACAGG